rnacentral:rRNA from 1 species
CCUACGGGAGGCAGCAGUGGGGAAUUUUGGACAAUGGGCGAAAGCCUGAUCCAGCCAUGCCGCGUGAGUGAAGAAGGCCUUCGGGUUGUAAAGCUCUUUUAGUCGGAAAGAAAGAGUUGCAAUGAAUAAUUGUGAUUUAUGACGGUACCGACAGAAAAAGCACCGGCUAACUACGUGCCAGCAGCCGCGGUAAUACGUAGGGUGCGAGCGUUAAUCGGAAUUACUGGGCGUAAAGGGUGCGCAGGCGGUCUUGCAAGUCAGAUGUGAAAGCCCCGGGCUUAACCUGGGAAUUGCGUUUGAAACUACAAGGCUAGAGUGCAGCAGAGGGGAGUGGAAUUCCAUGUGUAGCAGUGAAAUGCGUAGAGAUGUGGAAGAACACCGAUGGCGAAGGCAGCUCCCUGGGUUGACACUGACGCUCAUGCACGAAAGCGUGGGGAGCAAACAGGAUUAGAUACCCUGGUAGUCCACGCCCUAAACGAUGUCAACUAGUUGUCGGAUCUAAUUAAGGAUUUGGUAACGUAGCUAA